AUAGUGCGCGCAUAGAGUUGCUGCUCGUGUUAUCUUUGCGGAAAAAACGCGCGGAAGAAAUGUGCGGAAGUGUUCGCAAUCGAAAACCGGUAAAUAUACACAGUGCAAUUUACGCGUAGUGUCGGAAGUGCCGUGUAAAGUGUCGCGCGUCGGGAGUGCCGUGUAAAAUUUCGCGUAUCGGGAGUGCCGUGUAAAGUGUCGGGCGUAAUUAUUCGUAUUUUCGUGAGUGUCGUAAGUGCUACCAAGAGAGGAGGAGGAGGCCCGGGGAGGCAUCGGGUGACAGCGAGGCAACUGCGAGAUCAAUAUGCUGUGUACUACAACUCCGUUUUGCACGUAUCGAUUCGAACAUCGCUGAACAUCUGAAUCAUCCAUGGAAGGAAUCGGUCGUGAUAUCAAAAAAAUACAUAAUUAAUUUAAAAUCGAGUCAAUAGAUAUAGAUUAGAUUUAAUCGAUAAGUUGGCGAUUAAUUAAUUAAUUUUUCGCACGAUUGUAAUAACGAUGCGAUGAAUCAUGGACAACGAUGUAAGCUUCGAACGUGCAAGACUCUGGAGAAUUGCGAGAUAAAUAA